rnacentral:misc_RNA from 1 species
UCAUAGCCCGGGUUGAGCGGCGUGUCUGAGCUCUUUUUAGUUUACGGCGGCGGCAAAGCCGCCGCCGUAAACUAAAAAAGCGAGUAGCGAAAACCGGAAAAAGC